GAACUAAAUUUGUUACGGCAAACUCGGUGGCUCCUACGGUCUCGGCGUUUCUAUCGAUGUUCGUUACACGGUUUAUAAUCCACACAAAGUCAGACCUCCCGGUUUCUGUGUAUAACGUCUACAGUGAACCGCAAUCUAUCCGUUUUGUAGAUUCAAACAUUGCCGUGUAGCCUAGUGAAAUAAAAGUGGAACGACAAAGCAAAUAACCUGAAACAACACGACGAUCGUCACGGCUCGUGAGUUCUUGACGCUUUGCACUUUUGCCGGGAGAUUCCAAAGAUACGACUUCUUCCGGAAGACAUCAAGAUAUACUCAUCGCAGACCCAGAACACAAGAGCCAUAUGUUCCAUACUCUGAGAACCCGAAACAAUCACCGACUUCCUUUAUCUCUUGCAACAUGCAUUUCUGCGUUUAGGAUAUUUAAGGUCACUCGUUGUCGGCGUCCUGUCGCGAGGAAACACGAACCAGGCGCCAGACUUUCGCCGAACUUAUUGGUACGGGUGGAUCGUGCCAGCGAAAUUCUGAAGGGGUGUUUCCAAGUAUCGAAAGAAAACGGUAGUUUUCGAACAACUUGAAGAAGAUCGUCCCUGCGACAAGGACCAAAGGACGAAACAGGACAAAGUGAUCCCAAGGGAUGAAAAAUCUGUUCGUGACGUCACAGGGUUGUGGCAAUGAGUUUUGAUAAGAUAAAAAAAAAUUUUUAAUUUAAUAAAU